rnacentral:lncRNA from 1 species
GGAGCCGCGAGGGAGAGGCCGCGGCCCCUUCCCGUUGCCUGCGGCCACCGGCCGGCAUUCAGAGCCCCUCGCCUGGCGCUAAAUUUAAAAACGUAACACGAGCAGCAGGCUGGUCUCGGAAACGAAACGAAAUUCGGUCCCUGGGCCUCCUCCCGGGCGCUGCCGGUCCCUCAGCGCGCCGCGCCACCCGGAACAGACCCUUCUCCCGCCAUUUUCGGCGGGGCUGGGAGACUGAGGCCCGCGGCGCUGAGCCUGCGGCGCCCCGGAAGAGGCGGGCGGCAUGGCCGCUGGCGUGGACUGCGGGGACGGGGUUGGCGCCCGGCAGCACGUGUUCCUGGUUUCAGAAUAUUUAAAAGAUGCUUCAAAGAAGAUGAAAAAUGGGCUAAUGUUUGUAAAACUGGUUAACCCCUGUUCAGGAGAAGGAGCCAUUUACUUGUUCAAUAUGUGUCUACAGCAGCUGUUUGAAGUAAAAGUUUUCAAGGAAAAACACCAUUCUUGGUUUAUAAAUCAAUCAGUUCAAUCAGGAGGUCUUCUCCAUUUUGCCACACCUGUGGAUCCUCUAUUUCUGCUUCUCCACUACCUCAUAAAGGCUGAUAAGGAGGGGAAGUUUCAGCCCCUUGAUCAAGUUGUGGUGGAUAACGUGUUUCCAAAUUGCAUCUUGUUGCUGAAACUUCCUGGACUUGAGAAGUUACUUCAUCAUGUGACAGAGGAAAAAGGUAAUCCAGAAAUAGACAACAAGAAAU